CACCGCGGUCAUACAGGAGACCCAAAUUAACAUUACUUGACGGCGUAAAGAGUGGUUACAUGUUAUCCGAGCAGCUAAGAUUAAAAAGCAGCUGAGCUGUCAUACGCCCAAGAUGCUCAUAAGGCCUCUGUCAGAAGAAUAUCUUAGACCUACGAUUAAUUGAAACCCACGAAAGCCAGGGCC
rnacentral:rRNA from 1 species